CAGCACCUCAAGUGGUCAGGAUGAUUAUUGGGCCUAAAGCAUCCGUAGCCGGCGCUGUAAGUUUUCGGUUAAAUCUGUACGCUCAACGUACAGGCUGCCGGGAAUACUGCAGCGCUAGGGAGUGGGAGAGGUAGACGGUACUCGGUAGGAAGGGGUAAAAUCCUUUGAUCUAUUGAUGACCACCUGUGGCGAAUGCGGUCUACCAGAACACGUCCGACGGUGAGGGAUGAAAGCUGGGGGAGCAAACCGGAUUAGAUACCCGAGUAGUCC
rnacentral:rRNA from 1 species